AGAUAGUGUUAUUUGGAGUUCAAGGGGAAUAAUGGGUGAACACUACAACAAAGUUGCUUGAUAGAGCAAUGGGUGGUUCAUAUAGAGGUUUAAUGACUUUUGAUGAGCAACAAGUAUUGUUGCGUUGUUAGUACCAUUUGCUCUUCCUUUUAAGGAGCUAUGGUCUAUCAAUUAGAAUAAAGGACAGGCUAAGCUCUUGAAAUAAUGACAACAAAGAGAUGGAGGUGACUAUAUUUCUUCAUGAGUUGUAGAUUCUUGGUUCCCUAUCUUCAAUGCUUCUCUCAUUUGAUUUCUUGCAUUCUGUUAUUUUAGUCUAGAUAUUUACUUUUAGCUUCUCACAGAUUAUUUUAGUUGAUAGGUGUUUUCUUAUUUUUUGUAGAUACUCCAAAACUUUUUGUAAUUUUUGAAGUGGCAAAAAG